GCUAGCCUUCGCCUUCCACCUCCCAUCGCAUCCGAUCUGAGCUUCCCUUGGAAAUCUCACGCCGUCGUCGGCCACCGCUGAGGCGCUCAGCACGGCAGCACGCCUCUCUCCGUCCUAGCCCACCCAGCCACCCUCCGCCCCAUCUCUCAUCUGUGGAAGGCGACUCCGCAAGCCGCCAGAGCAGGCCCUAACCCCUUCCCUCUGCCCCAAUCAUAGAAGACAACGCGGAUCCUCCAAGCGCUCCAGCAGCCGGGGUCGGUCAGGAAGGAAAUCGGCGGUAAUGACGAGGUAUCCAGCUGUGGGCACGGAUGGAUCAGGCCCAAGCCCGCCGCCCUCUCUUUCUCAUUCGAGGACGACGCUGCAGCCCCGGAGGCCCUGGCUGCUUCCUCGCGUCACCGCUACCCCAGGCGAAGAGACGCCCUGUGCGCCUACCCUCGCACCCGUGACGACAGCGUCGUGCGCGCUGCUGAACAGGAGAAGGCCGCCAAGCACCGACGCUGGAAGGUACCCAUCUACACCCCACCCACCCACCCCAACCCGUCUCAGAUAGUUGGUAAUCUCGAGUUGGUAAUUGCUUAGUAAAAUAAUUACUUUUGGUGAAACUCGUCAUCAUACUCCCUCUGGCUACUAAUUUGCAUUCCUUGUUGGGAUGUGUAGUCUGAAACUAUUGUUUGGUAGUACUUGUAGUUCAUAGUAAAACAAUUAUACUCGGAGGAGAAGUGACUCAGACAGUAAUUGCUUGGUUCUGGUCAUUGAAAUACGUCAAGCGCUACAGGUUUGUUUCAAGAGUUUUGAACCUAAGGAUAUCUGACUCAAGACUGAAAUUGUUGAUAUUACUUAUUGUCAUUGUAAUUGUGGAGCCUAUAAGUGUGAUGCCCAUGAGUUUUAAUAAAUACUUUCCAAGGAAUUUAUAACAAAUGCAAUCUUAAAGCUUUGGUGCUGUUCAAUUUCAGAAAUCGGUUUCCUAUGAAUGAACUUGUUAGCAGUAUUGCUAUUAUUAGCCAAUAAUGGUUGGUUCUUUGUUUAAGGUUUUUGUAACUUUAUGGUCUCAUGAGUGAAAUCACGGACCAACUCCCUUUUGUGAAAUCAGUAGUGUUACAAAAGUCUUUUCUUCGUUGUUGGUUCUUAUGGGUAACAUUAGUGUUGUAAUGCCCUCAAAAUUACCUACCUUGCCCAAAUUUAUCUCAUCGAUACCUUCCUUCAUUAUUCGCUAGGAUCAAUUGACACCUUUCUUGUUUUCAGUGCAAUGUAUAAUUAUUGCAGAGUAGAUAAUGACAUGAUUUCGGCUAAGCUAUACCAGAUUUAGUUGUCACUAAAUUAUGCUUUCUUCUGUCUCAAAAUGGGAAAAGCUAAAGGGAAGGUACAGUUUAAAUAUCCAACCCGCUAAUGGGGACAAGUAAUAUUCUAUGCUCACUAUUUCGAGUUUCCUUUUCACUGAAAGCUGCAAGUCAAGUUCUUACCAGCUGCAGUGGUAUCGAUGUUAAUUACUUUUAAGUUCUAGGAGCUCACCAAAUGUUGUUUUCUAAGUCCGAGGCUGCAAUUGAUCAAAAAUAUUUGUCAGGUUUAUUUUUUUCAGUGCCUCCAUAUAGCAGGAAAAUUAUUUUUCGGUUUUCAAUGGAACCGUUUCUUAGGAUAAGAUUUUUCUCUGUAGCUUGAUGUAGUCCUGUAAAUGUAAUUCUCAUGUAAAGUCUGUUGAGUUAACCGUUUAAGAUAGGUCUAACACAUGUGGCUUUCGUAAGCAUUACUAUCUUAAUCCUUUAGGAUGCAACUUUUGAUGAAUGGCCUUCUUUCAUGGAUUAGUUGAUAGGCAUUACUAUCACUAACACAUGUGGCUUAUGUAUGCAUUACUAUCUUAAAUCUUUAGAACUAUCCUUUACAGUCCAGGCUGAAGCUAGAUUCAAUUCUUUGGCUUAGAAUCAAACUUUCUUUACACCAAAAGCUCAUAACUGCUGUGUGUCAGAUAAAACUUGAUGAGACUUGCUUGUGAAACCUCAUUAUGUACAUCAAGCAUGAACUAUAUUUACACGUUAAGGAACUUUUGUGCAUUUAGCAGAGAGCAGGUCAUGAGCAAGGAAAAGUCCACACUGAACAAGCUCCAGUGGAACUUUACAGUUCUGACGGUGUAUAUGUUCAGCAUUUUUAGAAAAUCAGGGACCCUUCCCCGGCUCCAUUUUAUUGAAAAUGAAACCAACCGACAGAGUUCAGUGCCAAAUUUAUAUGUUCAUCAUUCGAUACAUGAAAGCUGCAAUGGGUGACAAGGAGCUGGAGAACAUGGCAUUCUUCUAUGAUGUGCUUACGCUGGUUCAGUACUCGACGUGAGUCCAUCGUGGAGUGAUACCAUGAAGCACCGCACGGGCUUAGCUGAGUUACAAUUGUUGUACAUAUUCUUCCUCUUUUUUUGCGCAAAUGUACAUAUUCUUCCUGACUUAUUAAUCUUGCUUAGUGAGAGACCUGAUUAUUUGCAUCUGAGCUGAACCACACUCUAAAUUAUGAUGCUCACAUGCUACUUUGAUCAUGUCAUCUACUUUCUGAAAUCUUGUUAUUUACGUCAAACCCGAAUCAAUCUUUAUAUUGUGUUUA